GGGUGCUAGUGGGGGACCUGGAGGAAAAGUGGGCGUGAAGCCUUCAUCUCAUUGGUUCGAAGGGCUGGGACGGCCGAGGCAGGAGGCGCAACGGAGAAAAGGUGGAUUUCCGAGCUGCCCGCCGGUGGUGAAGGCACAGAGCAGAUGCUGCCACGGCUGUUCCCUGGGGCGGAGUCAAGUUUCAGUCGGCCCUGAAAUAUACGCGCGAGUCAGAAGAGAACAGGAGCGCCUUGAGAAGCUACGCCGGCGCUAAGCGAGGAGACGUGCUCCUGAUGCCCAUGCACACGUGCAAGCACAGCCAUAUCUGAGGGCUUCCCCAGGGAACGAUCAGGUCAGGAGGCCUGGGAUGGGGAGGCGGGUCAGGCCGGAACCACUGCAGACCCUGCUUCUUUAGUCACACACCUUCGCUUCACCUCAUGCUGCAAGAUUUUGACUUCAGAUGCUGCUGCUAAAGGUGUGCAGCGGGUCCAGUUUUACUAAAAACAUCCCACUGCUGCAAAAGCAAAAACCGAAAUUCCACCCUUCAAAUAAAAUGUGUCGCUUUUCAUUUAAAUCUUUGUAUGCUGCAGAUUUGACCUCCAAGCGGUUCACAACAGCAGCAGUGGUAAACGAAGGAGAGUCUUCGUGCCACAGACAUAGACCGGCUGAGAGGAGAGACGGUCGCUGGGCCCGCAGAGAGGCGAACAGUUCGGCCUCCGAGUGAGUCGACAUUCCCUCAUCUGCUAGACCCAACAGUUUCCCAGGAGGAGGAGGAGGCCCAUCCAUCAAAGGCUGCACCAGUGAAGGCACAUGGAUCAGCGAGGUGGCGCCUAAUGAAUGUAUGGACACUUCUUCAGAUCACGGCCCAAUGCACUAAUUCAAUCGACAGGCAAGUCCUAGAAGCUGCAGAGGCAGCAGAAACGGCAAUGCCUUCAGUAGGUAGGAAACAGCCCUGGGACUGAGGAGACCAGAUGAAUGCAGUGGGGCU